GUCUCUAGCUGGAGAUCACUCCUUUUGGAGUCCUUCUGUGAGCCCUGGAAACAGGUUUUUUUUUUUUUUUUUACCCCUGGAAACAGUAUUCAUGAUAAGUAACUACUAAGUCACCUUCUUCAAGCAAGAUGUUUAUUUAUAACCAAACCAUAGAGAAGUAGAUGCACUUCAAAACAGGGAAUGAUGUUUAUCCCUGCUUUUCCACAUGGUUUACCACUCCUUGGUAAAUUCUUAUAAUCUCUUCUUCAUGUAGUUUAUCUUCUUGAUCAAACUGUCCCUGCAAGAGCUGCUGUCUGUGUCUUACCAGGUAACUGAAAACCCCUUGGGGUUUAUCCCAGAUCCUAUUCUGUUCUCUUAUCUCUCCUACCUCCUUUGAGAGGGCUUUAAAGUACUGUAGGGAUUGCUUCCGUCCCUGAGCUGCUGCUCUGGUAAAACAAGGAAACACUGGAAACAAGCUGCAGGAAUGACAACUGGCUGGAAACAACAGCAGCACUGGAAACAAGACACCAUUCCAACAGUUCUUUUUAUUUCGAAGUGUGUGCUGAGAUGGUCCGAUUCAAGGACCCGCUGCAAGCAUUGCUGUUCAAUCUUUCAGCAGCCCCAUUAGGACUGAGCAAUACAAGCUUGCAGAACAUGUUACAGAUAGUAGCCACAACAUCUGUAAAUAGGCCAAAAAGAGUAUUUGUUAAACAGUUGUGUAGCAACACAGCAUUGAACUCAGGAUUAAUUUCGCUACUUUCUAGCCUAGUUCUCUUGAUGAACGUAUAUAUUUUUUCAGAUACAAUUUUGUCUGGAAAUGUUAUGUUUAUACUCAUGCUUUCUGCAUCUGUCAAUUAUACAGUGAACAAAUGUAAUGUUAUACUGUCAGGAACUAGAAUUGUUUGUCACUAUUAUAAGUAAGUAAUAGUUACUGGUAUGCAAAAUCUGCUAGUAGUAAUGUCAACUUGCAGCAAAUGUAUUAUAGCCUCUCUACCAUAUGUAAUGAUUGUAUUAUAAUAAUUUCCUCAGUUUUCCCAGAUGCAUAAGAGUGAUUAUAAUACCACUUGUUACAAAAGCUAAGGAAUUUGCUAAUAAAAAUGAACUCUAGACAUUGAUUCAUAGG
ensembl:lncRNA